rnacentral:tRNA from 1 species
GCCUUCGUGGUGUAGUGGUUUGCAUGCUGGUUUCGUAUGCCAGAGGUCCGUGGUUCGAUUCCCUGCGAAGGCG